rnacentral:rRNA from 1 species
GGGUGCGAUCAUACUAGCGUUAAUGCACCGGAUCCCAUCAUAACUCCACAGUUAAGUGCGCUUGGGCUAGAGUAGUAUUGGGAUGGAUGACCUCCCAGGAAGUCCUAGUGUUGCACCCU